rnacentral:rRNA from 1 species
GUGGGGAAUAUUGGGCAAUGGGGGCAACCCUGACCCAGCGACGCCGCGUGGGUGAAGAAAUCCCUCGGGAUGUAAAGCCCUGUUGUAUGGGAAGAGCAGAAGACGGUACCAUACGAGGAAGCCCCGGCAAACUACGUGCCAGCAGCCGCGGUAAUACGUAGGGGGCAAGCGUUGUCCGGAAUUACUGGGCGUAAAGGGCGUGUAGGCGGCCGAUUAAGUCUGGAGUGAAAGUCCUGCUUUCAAGGUGGGAAUUGCUUUGGAGACUGGUUGGCUUGAGUGUCGGAGAGGAAAGUGGAAUUCCAAGUGUAGCGGUGAAAUGCGUAGAGAUUUGGAAGAACACCAGUGGCGAAGGCGACUUUCUGGACGAUGUCUGACGCUGAGGCGCGAAAGCUAGGGGAGCGAACGGGAUUAGAAACCCUGGUAGUCC